CUAAGAUCCUGUCAUGGGCUACUCCCGGCUCCAGGACCUCAGUGCUUGGUUGGGUCCCCAGGUCCCACUAUGUCCCACAACCGACUCGAGCCACCACCAGAGUUAUCGCUUCUGAUAGAUUCCUUUGCUCUUUAAUUCUGACAGAGUGAGGCACUUUUUUGUGUUUAGAACUCAUAAGUGAAAAAUGGAAAUGCUCUCAAGUAUGGAACUGUGGAGAGAAGACUGGAACCAGCUAUUGAGCUGUGUCUGGCAGUAUAUAAACACGUGAGAGGAACUGCAUCCGGCUGAACUUAAUGCCACUCUGGACCAUCACAGCCACCCUUCGCUGCCAGCCAGGCUUCAUUCACAAGGACUGGUUUCUCUCUGUGUUCAUGGGUGCCUGUGUUCUCCUAGACUUCAGGGAAAGCAGAAGUAAAAACCUUAGCUCAUGUAUGCUACAGACAGUCUACAACCACGAAGCAGAGAAGACCAGUGCAUGGGAAUAAGAGAUGUUUGCAAACCCUGAUGGGGUCUUCUGGAGCUGAGACAGCAUCUACAGAGAAAAUGUACACCUGCGGCAAAUAGGAUUCAGAUGGAACGAAGAUAUGUACCAGCUAUAUGUAGCAAGAGUAAGAAAAGAAGGCUGCAGAGUCUAUGGUUACCUAAGUCCUAACAGGAAUGUAAACCAAGAGUGAGAGUGUGAAAGAAGGAACACUCUUAUUCCCACAUCAGAGACAAACUGGUCCCUGAAGCCACCCAUGGAGAAAGAGGUGAAGGCAGCCAGAUUAAAUGACAAGAAACUGAACUAAAGCCAGGCCAGCUGAAUUCCUCGAAGUCAGAAAUAGCAACAUACAUCCUCAAGAAGGAGUCAGUCAGUGCAGGAGCCUGGGCUGUCCUGAAAAAGGGAACAGUAAGAUCCAAAGCAAACCAUCACCCAGCUGGGAGAGACUCAGGAUGAGUCUGGACUAAAAAUGGCAAAAUCUAGGAAAACAGCACACAAGAACUCUUCCACUGCUGUUUUCAAAAAUAGUAAAAGGAGAAAACAGAAGGUAUAUAUACAUCCUGACAAAGAAGAGGGAAAGGAGAAAAGAAACAGAGGACACUAGCACCAUUGAGGGAUGUUUUGAGUGUCUGCAGAAACCCAAGAAACCUGCUAACAGACUGGAACUGAAGCAAGGAGAGCAGAGCUUACUGACACAACGUCGACAAGAGAAUAAACCACAGCAGGAAAGAAACAUCCCAUCAGCAAACACACUUGGAUUACCCUGUAAAGGCUUACAGUGAUACUCUAGAGGUCCAGAACGGGAAAGCAACACAACAUGACUGGACACCAUUCUGAAGUUAUAUUUCAAAAUUGUUUUCUGUUUAUGAAAACCUCAUAUAAUUCCUGGCAUCCUCAUGGAGGCUCACAACUAUCUGCAACUCCAGUCUCAGGGAUCUAACGGCCUCUAACGGCCUCUUCUG